rnacentral:rRNA from 1 species
GCUUACGGCCACACCUCCUGAGGCACGCCGAUCUCGUCUGAUCUCGGAAGCUAGCAGGGUCGGCCCGGUUAGUACUUGGAUGGGAGACCGCCUGGGAAUACCAAGGUGCUGUAAGCC